rnacentral:rRNA from 1 species
UACGGAGGGUGCAAGCGUUAUCCGGAUUUACUGGGUUUAAAGGGUGCGCAGGCGGAUAUGUAAGUCAGUGGUGAAAUCUCUAGGCUUAACCUGGAAAUUGCCGUUGAUACUAUAUAUCUUGAAUGCUGUGGAGGUAAGCGGAAUAUGUCAUGUAGCGGUGAAAUGCUUAGAUAUGACAUAGAACACCUAUUGCGAAGGCAGCUACUACGCAGAUAUUGACGCUCAUGCACGAAAGCGUGGGGGAUCAAACAGG